rnacentral:rRNA from 2 species
UGGCUCAGGACGAACGCUGGCGGCGUGCCUAAUACAUGCAAGUCGAACGAACUCUGGUAUUGAUUGGUGCUUGCAUCAUGAUUUACAUUUGAGUGAGUGGCGAACUGGUGAGUAACACGUGGGAAACCUGCCCAGAAGCGGGGGAUAACACCUGGAAACAGAUGCUAAUACCGCAUAACAACUUGGACCGCAUGGUCCGAGUUUGAAAGAUGGCUUCGGCUAUCACUUUUGGAUGGUCCCGCGGCGUAUUAGCUAGAUGGUGGGGUAACGGCUCACCAUGGCAAUGAUACGUAGCCGACCUGAGAGGGUAAUCGGCCACAUUGGGACUGAGACACGGCCCAAACUCCUACGGGAGGCAGCAGUAGGGAAUCUUCCACAAUGGACGAAAGUCUGAUGGAGCAACGCCGCGUGAGUGAAGAAGGGUUUCGGCUCGUAAAACUCUGUUGUUAAAGAAGAACAUAUCUGAGAGUAACUGUUCAGGUAUUGACGGUAUUUAACCAGAAAGCCACGGCUAACUACGUGCCAGCAGCCGCGGUAAUACGUAGGUGGCAAGCGUUGUCCGGAUUUAUUGGGCGUAAAGCGAGCGCAGGCGGUUUUUUAAGUCUGAUGUGAAAGCCUUCGGCUCAACCGAAGAAGUGCAUCGGAAACUGGGAAACUUGAGUGCAGAAGAGGACAGUGGAACUCCAUGUGUAGCGGUGAAAUGCGUAGAUAUAUGGAAGAACACCAGUGGCGAAGGCGGCUGUCUGGUCUGUAACUGACGCUGAGGCUCGAAAGUAUGGGUAGCAAACAGGAUUAGAUACCCUGGUAGUCCAUACCGUAAACGAUGAAUGCUAAGUGUUGGAGGGUUUCCGCCCUUCAGUGCUGCAGCUAACGCAUUAAGCAUUCCGCCUGGGGAGUACGGCCGCAAGGCUGAAACUCAAAGGAAUUGACGGGGGCCCGCACAAGCGGUGGAGCAUGUGGUUUAAUUCGAAGCUACGCGAAGAACCUUACCAGGUCUUGACAUACUAUGCAAAUCUAAGAGAUUAGACGUUCCCUUCGGGGACAUGGAUACAGGUGGUGCAUGGUUGUCGUCAGCUCGUGUCGUGAGAUGUUGGGUUAAGUCCCGCAACGAGCGCAACCCUUAUUAUCAGUUGCCAGCAUUAAGUUGGGCACUCUGGUGAGACUGCCGGUGACAAACCGGAGGAAGGUGGGGAUGACGUCAAAUCAUCAUGCCCCUUAUGACCUGGGCUACACACGUGCUACAAUGGAUGGUACAACGAGUUGCGAACUCGCGAGAGUAAGCUAAUCUCUUAAAGCCAUUCUCAGUUCGGAUUGUAGGCUGCAACUCGCCUACAUGAAGUCGGAAUCGCUAGUAAUCGCGGAUCAGCAUGCCGCGGUGAAUACGUUCCCGGGCCUUGUACACACCGCCCGUCACACCAUGAGAGUUUGUAACACCCAAAGUCGGU